GAGGAAUAGCCUUUAGAAAUGAAGAUUAAUGCCUCAUGGUAUUGUAGACUGGCAUCAGUUUAUAAUUAAAGAUUUAUCGGUAAAAGAUGGCUAUGCGUCCUAUUAGUUAGUUGGUAAGGUAACGGCUUACCAAGACAGCGAUAGGUAGGGGUCCUGAGAGGGAGAUCCCCCACACUGGUACUGAGACACGGACCAGACUCCUACGGGAGGCAGCAGUGAGGAAUAUUGGACAAUGGAGGAGACUCUGAUCCAGCCAUGCCGCGUGUAGGAAGAAUGCCCUAUGGUAUGUAAACUACUCUUAUACAGG
rnacentral:rRNA from 1 species